rnacentral:tRNA from 1 species
GCUGAUAUAGCUCAGUAGGUAGAGCACUCCCUUGGUAAGGGAGAGGUCUCCGGUUCAAGUCCGGAUAUCAGCA